rnacentral:rRNA from 1 species
UACAGAGGGUGCGAGCGUUAAUCGGAAUUACUGGGCGUAAAAGCGCGCGUAGGCGGCUUUGCAAGUCGGGUGUGAAAAUCCCCAGGCUUAACCUGGGAACUGCAUUCGAGACUGCAUUGCUAGAGUAUGGGGGAGGGAAGUGGAAUUUCCGGGUGUAGCGGUGAAAUGCGUAGAUAUCGGAAGGAACAUCAGUGGCGAAAAGCGACUUCCUGGACCAAUACUGACGCUCAUGUGCGAAAAGCGUGGGGAGCAAACAGG